GCUCGAUUAGCUCAGCUGGUUAGAGCAUGCGGCUGUUAACCGCAAGGUCGAAGGUUCAAUCCCUUCAUCGAGCG
rnacentral:tRNA from 2 species